rnacentral:rRNA from 1 species
UACAGAGGUCUCAAGCGUUGUUCGGAUUCAUUGGGCGUAAAGGGUGCGUAGGCGGCGCGGUAAGUCGGGUGUGAAAUCUCGGAGCUUAACUCCGAACUGCAUUCGAUACUGCCGUGCUUGAGGACUGGAGAGGAGACUGGAAUUACGGUGUAGCGUGAAUGCGUAGAUAUCGUAAGGAAGACCAGUGGCGAGCGGUCUCUGGACAGUCCUGACGCUGAGGC